CGUGUUAAGUGGAAAAGGAUGUGGGGAUUCUAAGACAACUAGGACGUUGGCUUAGAAGCAGCCAUUCAUUGAAAGAGUGCGUAAUAGCUCACUAGUCGAGAGUCCCUGCGCCGAAAAUGUCCGGGGCUGAAACACGACACCGAAGCUUAGGAAUGUGUAAACAUUGGUAGAGGAGCAUUGCUGGCGGGAUGAAGCCAUACCGUAAGGAGUGGUGGACUGCCAGGAAGAGAGAAUGCCGGAAUGAGUAGCGAGAUGAAGGUGAGAAUCCUUCAGGCCGAAUAUCUAAGGUUUCCAGAGUAAAGCUGAUCUGCUCUGGGUAAGUCGGGACCUAAGGCGAGGUCGAAAGACGUAGUCGAUGGAUAACAGGUUGAAAUUCCUGUACCGCAUAUAAACAGAACUGUGGGGACACAGACAGGGAAUGGAAUCCGGGAAUGGAAAUCCCGGUGCAAGCGAGGUAGGAGUGCUGUUGGCAAAUCCGCAGCACGAUCUGAAGACGUGACGCGUACCGAACAUAAGUAGGGAAGUCCAGGCCCCUGGCUGUCAAGAAAAGCCGCUAUUGUUUUAUAUGUGCCCGUACCGCAAACCGACACAGGUGGAUGAGGAGAGAAUCCUAAGGCCGACGGGAGAAGCAUUGUUAAGGAACUCGGCAAAAUGACUCCGUAACUUCGGGAGAAGGAGUGCCAGUAAGAUGGCCGCAGAGAAUUGGCCCAAGCAACUGUUUAGCAAAAACACAGGUCUAUGCAAAACCGCAAGGUGAAGUAUAUGGGCUGACGCCUGCCCGGUGCUGGAAGGUUAAGGGGAGAGGUUAGCGCAAGCGAAGCUUUGAACUUAAGCCCCAGUAAACGGCGGCCGUAACUAUAACGGUCCUAAGGUAGCGAAAUUCCUUGUCGGGUAAGUUCCGACCCGCACGAAAGGCGUAAUGAUUUGGGCACUGUCUCAACGAUACACCCGGUGAAAUUGAAAUACCAGUGAAGAUGCUGGUUACCUGCGCCAGGACGGAAAGACCCCAUGGAGCUUUACUCCAGUUUGAUACUGGGAUUCGGCAUGGUAUGUACAGGAUAGGUGGGAGACUGAGAAGGUAUGACGUCAGUUGUACCGGAGUCGCUGUUGGGAUACCACCCUUACCAUGUUGGAUUUCUAACCUGUGGCCGUAAGCCGGUCAGGGGACAAUGUCAGGCGGGGAGUUUGACUGGGGCGGUCGCCUCCGAAAGGGUAUCGGAGGCGCUCAAAGGUUCCCUCAGAAUGGUUGGAAACCAUUCGAAGAGUGCAAAGGCAGAAGGGAGCUUGACUGCGACACCGACGGGUGGAGCAGGUACGAAAGUAGGACUUAGUGAUCCGGUGGUAUAAAGUGGGAUUGCCAUCGCUCAACGGAUAAAAGCUACCCUGGGGAUAACAGGCUUAUCACUCCCAAGAGUUCACAUCGACGGAGUGGUUUGGCACCUCGAUGUCGGCUCAUCGCAUCCUGGAGCUGUAGCAGGUUCCAAGGGUUGGGCUGUUCGCCCAUUAAAGCGGUACGCGAGCUGGGUUCAGA
rnacentral:rRNA from 1 species